rnacentral:lncRNA from 1 species
CUAGACCUCUUGUUCUGCUAAACCGGUAUAGUGGGUACUGGUCUGCGUUGUGAAACUGGGGGUCUGGGAUUCCCUGCUGCUGGAGGAAAGAUGCGAAGGUUCCUCUCUACUAACUAUACCUUGGCCAGAACGGCUGAGUAAGUGUUAAGCUUAAAUACGUACAGCUGCUGUCUGAUCUCAGGACGGAGGCCCCACUCGAACUUUCUUGCCUUUCUACCCUCAUCCAUCAUGCUCUUAGUGGAAUAUCAGCCCAACUCUAGGAACCUUCGGGCAUACUCCGACACAGUCAUCUCACCCUGUAUUAAGUGUGCAAACUCCAUCUCCUUUAAAUGCCGGAGGU